rnacentral:rRNA from 1 species
UACGUAGGGUCCGAGCGCUGUCCGGAAUUACUGGGCGUAAAGAGCUCGUAGGUGGUUUGUCGCGUUGUUCGUGAAAACUCACAGCUCAACUGUGGGCGUGCGGGCGAUACGGGCAGACUUGAGUACUGCAGGGGAGACUGGAAUUCCCGGUGUAGCGGUGAAAUGUGUAGAGAUCGGGAGGAACACCGGUGGCGAAGGCGGGUCUCUGGGCAUUUCCUGACGCUGAGGCGCGAAAGCGUGGGGAGCAAACGGG